rnacentral:sRNA from 1 species
AGGUCAUCCAACGACGCACUCCUCCUCCCAGCGAAGUUGGAUAGAGAUCGGCAAUAUCCUCCUCCUCCCAAUUGCCGAUCAAGUUUAAAAAGCCUGGCGCCUCCUCCUCCCGCGCCAGGCUUUUUUG